UGCCAGCCGCCGCGGUAAUACGAAGGGUGCAAGCGUUGUUCGGAAUCACUGGGCGUAAAGGGCGUGUAGGCGGACUGAUAAGUAAGAGGUGAAAUCCCCGGGCUCAACCUGGGGACUGCCUUUUAAACUAUUAGUCUAGAAUUCGGGAGGGGAGUGUGGAAUUCCUAGUGUAGAGGUGAAAUUCGUAGAUAUUAGGAAGAACACCGGUGGCGAAGGCGACACUCUGGACCGAUAUUGACGCUGAGGCGCGAAAGCGUGGGGAGCAAACAGGAUUAGAUA
rnacentral:rRNA from 1 species